rnacentral:lncRNA from 1 species
GGAACCCGGACCUACAUGGAGGCGCCUCCCCAGGAUGGACAUGGCACCCACAUUGGCACCCUCUGGUCUUGUCCCCACAGGACACCCCUCUGUCAUGGUGAUCAAGACGGCUAGGGGGCAGGGAAGGCGAGAAGAGGGAGGAGACACUGGUGUGACUCAUAGCAAAGUAAGAGCUUCUUCCCUCCUCUCUGCACCCCAAAUACGGCUGCAUUAGAACUAAGCAAGCUAUUGAUACCACACUGACCUAAAAAUAACAAAUGGCGAAGUCAGUGGCCUAGGAGGCUGGAGAAUCUUAACACCAGGUGGCCCAGGGCAUACCCAGAGCUUCUGGCAACCGAAAUCUGGAAAAAGUGGUAACAGUUCCAUCUGGUCAAAUGACAAAAGCCUAAAUUUGUAUCAAGUAGUGGCUGAUAACAGUCAAUUUCUACCUAGAAGGCACUACGUUGGAUCUAGGUGUUCAGGGUUCUUUAAGUCAUGCUCUGAAUGAAUAAGCAAUGAUUCCAAAGUAUGUGAAGCUAGCCUCACAGAUUGAAGUCCUUGAAAUCACACUUUCCAAACAGCUUCAAAUGAAGAACAAGCUCAUACAAACUCAAGAGUGCUUGAUCGAUGAGCAACUCCAGCAAGUGAAGACAUCACAGUCUGGGGCAGUGCAUGGCUGACCCCUUUACCUGUUGAACUAGCUGCUUUGGCCCUUGUUUCAAGGGAAAAGGGCUCUAGAGGAAUUGGGGGUUUGGUCCUCUUAAGGUCUGAGGUCUUUGGGUCUCUGGGUUUGGUCAGGCCCUUAGGGACUGUGGGCUUAGGCUGAGCAAGGGUAGCCUUGGGACAUGUCUCAAACUCUGGUGAAGUCAAGAAAGGCCACAGAGUGGAAAAUCCAGAAUCUACAUCCCAUUCGUGCCAGAGCCCUGUUCCAUCCACUCUCUGAGCAGAUGUCUCCCUACGAAGGCCCAAGGGACUCCUGAAAAGCAGGCACGAAUAGACCGCAGAGUUAAACAGUGCAAGGGCAUGCUGUGGACCCACCCACUUUGGGUAAAUCUUUUGACUUCUCUGUGAAUCAGAAAAUCAAUGGGAUAGACUAUGCCUCACAGGGCCACCCUAGGGAUCGAAUAAGAUGAUGGAUACCAAAGUGCUUCAUUAACAAUAAAGUGCCA